ACCUAACUGACAUCAUAAACUCAUUCAUGGAGACAGCACUCCUCUUCCUCUCUCUCUCAAGAUGUGCAGAGGAGAAUCACAAUUCGGACAGACGAGCCGAUUUACUUUUUACACAGCUUUGAGCCUAUGUUCCAUUUCAGGAGGAAAAUGAAAGUACACUUGACCGUUGUCCUGCUUGAGAAGUUGUCUUUUUUCCAAAAAGAGGCGGUCUGGGUUGUUUUUCCUUCCUCUCUCUCUUUUGUUUUCGGUUCUUUUUCCUCGUCAUCGAGUUCUUGCUUCAGAAGAAUUCGAGUGUGUCGUCUGUCAGGGUUGUGAUUCUCCUUUGGUGGCGUGCGAACGAUGACAGCCGAUAAGAGGGUUUCUCUGUGUCUAAAGAUUGAGAACGAGACGUGGGUUUUGAUCGAUUCAUGCUCCGCCGCCGCGAUUCAUCGUCCAGCGACGGAGCUCCGGCGGACUUUGAUCUCGAGCUAUGAAAAAACCCCUAAUUUACGAGCCUGCAAUUUGACCCUUUUAUCAUUCGGUUGCAAAGUUUUGUACUUUAGCUCUUUUCUUGCCGGAUUCUGCGCGUAACGCUUAGCACAGAUGCUUUACGAUCAUUUCUUUUUGAUGGGUAAGAUGCUUUACGUUUGGGAGCUCCAUGGAUGUUUGUGCUGAUUUGCUUGGACUCACUCUUUCUCUUUGCAUUCAUGUAUCUGGGGUUGUGGCUAAACUUGAUUGUUCAAAUGAGUUCAGCAGAUGGAAUGAUUAAGAUAUGAUACCUAAACGUUGGGCAUAUGUUGCUUUUUGGGGAAAAAAAAAAGAAGUCCAAGAUUUAAAUAAGCCACUAGACUCCAUUGAGUGGAACUGAUUUCUCUUUUUGCCCUCUCAUCACGUGCUUGUGAUGAAGCAGCUGAACAUUGUGAAACUUCCCAUUUAUUUUUUAGUCCCCCUAUUUGACUGAGCACUGUGGUCGAUGAGGAGUGCUUGCUGUGAUAAUCUUGAAUGAGACGAUAUCAAGAUGCUUUUGUCAUCAAUUAAGGCAUGUUUGCCAACGUUCUGGUUUUACUUAUGUAAGUAAUCGCUUUGGUAUGAAAUUGGUUUUGAUUGGUGGAAUGAAUGACAGUGACAGAUGAUUUCCCUUCAGUGAUCAAGGUUGUGCUAGUAACAAUACUUUUGAUAUGCCCGGAUCUUCUGCUAGUUGUUGUUGAGUUCACUGACUUAUCAUUGCUUCAAAGAUGCAUGAUUUUAUUGCUGAGACUAGUUUUAUAACAUCUUCUGAAGACAUAAUUAAAACAUGUCAUCCUAUUUCUGUGUAGUGUUCUUUACUAAUGUUGCCCUUCAGCAUGUUGAUCGUGAUUUCCUGGUGAUUAAUUUUUUAGUAUUUCCAGAUGACAUGAUUUAAUCUAGCAGUACCCUUUGCUUUCUUUGCUUUAUUUUAUAUGUAAAAGAAGGAAUGAUGUUGCAUCUAUUCAACUUGGUGCACACUUCCAUGAACCAGAUCGAUCUUUAGAAGCAUAUGGUUGGGAAUAAUUUGAAUGAUCUCAUCAUGGCCUCAUGAAAGAUUUUGUUGUUGAUCACGUUGCAUAAAUGAUGGUAACGUCUUUCCUUUUAUAAUCCUACUGUUAUGUUGGCGGAUGCGAUAUUGUUUCUUGCAUGAAAUAAAGGAAACGACAAGGUUUGUGGCUGCCGGAUAUGGCGCGAUCCCAUGGACCCAACAUUCCAAUAACCGUCUAGAGGACCUAACACAUGAAUAACCGACAAACUGCAUUGAAUACUUAGUUGUCAAGAAUCUGUUUAACUUUAGAGCAAAUUCCUGCAUGCUAAAAAGACUAUGUCCUCACACCUUAUUUUAGUUAGAAUGGAGAUUUUAUCCUUGCGAGGGAUCUUCAUUGAUGUCAAACUGAACCAGGGUUAAGCUCUGUCUAAAUAAGCACGUUUUACAUGCAGUCAUGGUUUUAUUAAUGCUUCAUUCACGGUGGAUAGCCAAAGAAACUAUAUUAUUAUCUACAAGCAGAUUCUUGGAGAGUAUAUUCUAACUCUUUGCCAUGUGUCCUUGCUUUGAUCACAUCGUGCUUCUUGGUUGGUUCGUUAGUCUUGCAAAAUUCGAAAGAUAAUUACAUUUUUAUGCAGAUCAUUCUUCUUGCAUAAUGUGAGAGAUUUAUGACUAUCCCUUCUUUUUCUCUGUGCUUAUGACAUGUCUUUAUUUCAAUUCAAUCCUUAUUACCAUGAGUAAUGAUAAGACUAAAUACCUUGUUUAUUCCCUAUUUUUCUUUUGGUCAUGGAGAUUGGAGAUAAUUUGAGAUAUAUAGUACAAAUAUUUUGCUCAUGAGUAACUCUUUGCCAUGUGUCCAUGCUUUGAUCACAUCUUCCUUCUUGGUUGGUUCAUUAGUCUUGCAAAAUUGUCAAAAGAUAAUUAUAUUUUUAUGCAGAUCAAUCUUCUUGCAUAAUGUGAGGGAUUUAUAACUAUCCCCUCUUUUUCUUUGUGUUUGUGAGUUUAUGAUGUGUCUUUGUUUCAAUUCAAUCCUUAUUACCAUGAGUGACGAUGAGAAUAAAUACCUUGUUUAUUUCCCUAUUUUUCUUUUGGUCAUGGAGAUUUGAGAUAAUUUGAGAUAUAUAGUACAAAUAUUUUGGCAUUAUGGAUAUUGAGGUAGCUGUGAAGAACAUAUUUUUAGUUUUUUGCAAAAUAAGUGCGCAACAGGUGGAGCAAGCAGUUGUAUUCUGAUGAUAUAUUUGUUAAUCUUGUCAAUAUGCUAUGUGCUUCUUUCUGCCUGUAACUUGCUUGAUUCAUUCGUUAUUUCAUUUGUAUUGCUUUUAGUGGGGAUGUUUUUAUUGUUUAUGGAGGGAAUCACGAGAUGUGGAUGAGGAGGUGGAACCAGUGUUUGCGACAUAACAAUUGCAGAGAACUUCAUGUGCAAAUGAAAUUAAUGCUGUCAAUUUGUUUCAAUUGCCUAAUUGUACUUGAAUGCCUAGUUUUACGGAGCAACCAACUUGCCUUGCUCUCUGUUUCUGCGUGUUUUACUGCUAAAUGUCCUAUAAGAGACUUGCUGGUUUUUGCAGCCAGUCGACUGGGAUAUAUGAUUGAUGACCAAAAUGGUCAUCCGCAGUAUAAUGCUUUUGUCAUCAAACUGUUGCCUCUCGUUAAAAUGACCUCAUGAUCCCAUUAAGAUAAAUAACUAUUUAGUACAAAUCCAUACUUGCCAUUUUGAGCCAGGAUGUCCUUCAGAAAUACUUGCUGCUCAUCUACAGGUAUGACUGGAUAACUUGCAAUCUUGUGGCGGAUGUAUCUUUUUACUUCCAUGUUACCUGAAUAGAAAACAGAACUGUAUUUUUUGAAGGUCUGGGGAAGGAUGUCUAUGAUAAGUAGCGAACCAUUUUUGUGUUUCCAACGGAAACAGAUGAUCCUUAAUGCAAUCUUUUGAUCGUUCUAUAUUUCACUCAACUUCCAAUUCUUUAGGCUUCUCUCUGGCAGCACAGAGAAAAAUCUGGUUGAUACACGUAUGUAAGGGUGGAGAGUCCGUCACUUCCCUGAGAGUCUUUGUAGUUUUUUGAUUUCUCAGGAGGUCUCUCUUGCAGGAUUUCUUUGAGUCAUCAUAUUGAUCGUGGAUGCUACUUAUCUGUAAUCUCUCCUUUUGUUUUCUUUCCUUCUUUAUUCUCUUCACAGCCUCUUAUAUUAAAAAUCCUUGUGCCAUUCUGGCUUCACUUGAAUCAACAAUCUUUUUUUUUUUUUUUUAAUAACAAUUUGAAAUGACGAGCUCCAAUAUCUUUCAAUAUGAGUAGAAGAUUAUGUGAUGAGAUUUCUCCUUGGCUAUGUGAAUUGUACUCCUUUCUUCUCUUGCUGAGCAUAUAUGAGCCUUGCUUGUAUUCAAUUUUACAGGUUGUCAUCCUUCAACUGUUUACCUGUGUCCACUCCAUGGUGGAAGUCAAGGCUUUAGUAUGUGUUCUGAUUCUGUUCACUAAUCCAUGCUGUUACUCUUAAGUUUAAACGCUCGGGGCUGAUUCAUGAUGUUUCAAAACUCAAAAGGAGACGAUGUCAUUGCUAAAGGGAUGAGACCAGACUGUAGCUAGCCUUGGUGGAUUAAGGGUUUGACAUGUGAAGAUAUACCAAUAUGGCAAAUUAACAUAAGCUUGCCCUCUUGGAGUUUCAGAUGCAGGAGCCAGGUGGUUAUCCUCUUCGAGUUCAGCAUGCAGGAGUGCCUGCUCGCGAGUUUAGCUGAUUUUGUAUCCGUCUGAGUCUUGUUAACCCUCCUUGUUCAGUCGCAUACCUCCUAUUGAAUUUGAGAAUCAACACUAAGUGUCGUCGCAGGAUAUUCCAGAAUGAUGUCUCUUCUGUCUUAUUAUCUGGCUUGAAGUGGUGCUAGUUUACGGCAUUGUUGAUACACAAAUGGAGUGGUUCUGGGAGAGGGAGGUAAUAUUUGGAAAUGCAAAAAAUACAAUCGUCCAGUGAAACAAAGACAGCUUGCUGCUGAGGGUGUCUCAGCUUCUCCGUUGAGAAGUAGUCUGCAAGAUCCUGAGACAAGUCGUUCAGAAAAUCUACAAGGAGAGCCAGCAAUUGAAAAUUGUAGGUCCUUGUUGCUGUUUAGAUACAAAAGCAAGCAUUCCCUUGUUGUUUGUUGAUCAACGGGAAAUUCGGGAAGCACCUCUAUGUUCCUCACGCUAACUAAAAUUUACACCGAGCAGUUAGGGGAACAAUGUCGUCGAUUGUAUUGUUCCCCCUAGCCCAUCAUGGCUACGUCUUGUUUAGCAAUUGGUACAAAUAAAUGGAUCGAUGGUUUCAUUUCA